rnacentral:rRNA from 1 species
AUUUAAUAAGUCAGUGGUGAAAUCCCAUCGCUUAACGAUGGAACUGCCAUUGAUACUGUUAGUCUUGAAUGAGGGUGCAGUGGUUGGAAUGUGUAGUGUAGCGGUGAAAUGCAUAGAUAUUACACAGAACACCGAUUGCGAAGGCAGACUCACUAACCCUAAAUUGACGCUGACGGGACGAAAGCGUGGGGAGCGAACAGGAUUAGAUACCCUGGUAG